AAUGAACGUUGGCGGCGUGGAUUAGGCAUGCAAGUCGGACGCCCCGCGAGGGGAGUGGCGCAAGGGUGAGUAAGGCGACGGUAACCAACCCCGCGGUUGGGCAUAGCCGAGGGAAACCUCGGGUAAUUCCCAGCGAUGUCGUGAACUGGCAUCAGUUUACGACCAAAGAUUCAUCGCCGCGGGACGGGCCGUCGUGGUAUUAGCUAGUUGGUGGGGUGACGGCCCACCAAGGCUGCGAUGCCUACCGGGUGUGCGAGCAUGGCCCGGCACACUGGGACUGAGACACUGCCCAGACUCCUACGGGAGGCUGCAGUCGAGAAUCUUCGGCAAUGGGCGCAAGCCUGACCGAGCGACGCCGCGUGGAGGACGAAGGCCUUCGGGUUGUAAACUCCUGUCGAGGGGGAGGAAGCCUUCGGGUUGACCGAUCCCUGGAGGAAGGACGGGCUAAGUUCGUGCCAGCCGCCGCCGUAACAC
rnacentral:rRNA from 1 species